AAAAACGAACGGUAAGACCGUUGCAAGCUGUUCGGGGUGUUCCCUUCCAUAGGUUGGCAUGAGCCUCGACGCAAGAAGCUUGUAAGGCACGCUCUUUUU
rnacentral:sRNA from 12 species